rnacentral:lncRNA from 1 species
UUGGUCAUGUGUAUGUGAGUGCUUUAAUUCUUUGGUGCUUUAAAGUUAAUAAAUCAAGAAAUAUAUGUUGGUCUUGUGCAUGUGAAUAUUAGUGUUUAGAUUUUUAAAAUUAAUAAAUCAAAGGAUUGAAACGAUCAUGUAAGUGUUAAGGUUAUUAAAAUUAAUAAAUCAAAGGAAUAUGUUGGUUGUGUGUAUGUGAGUGUUUUUAAUUCUUUGGUGCUUUAAUGUUAAUAAAUCAAGAAAU